rnacentral:pre_miRNA from 1 species
UCUUAUGGAUGAGCAAAGAAAGUGGUUUUCUGAGAUGGCAUCUACUUCUAAUAAAGGUGCUGUGAA